CGUUGGGACCCAUAUAGGUGGGGCAGACCCAUAGGGACACGUUGGGACCCAUAGAUGUGGGGUGGACCCAUAGAUGUGGGGCCCAUAGGGACACAUUAAGACCCAUAGAUGUGGGGCGGAACCAUAGGGACACGUUGGGACCCAUAGAUGUGGGGCAGACCCAUAGGGACACGUUGGGACCCAUAGAUGUGGGGCAGACCCAUAGGGACACGUUGGGACCCAUAAAUGUGGGGCGGACCCAUAGGGACACGUUGGGACCCAUAGAUGUGGGGCAGACCCAUAGGGACACGUUGGGACGCA
ensembl:lncRNA